GACGAACGCUGGCGGCGUGCCUAAUACAUGCAAGUAGGACGCAGUUGCGAAAGGGUGAGUAACGCGUAGGUAACUACCUAUUAGAGGGGGAUAACUAUUGGAAACGAUAGCUAAUACCGCAUACUAGUAGAUGGAACUGCGUUGUAUUUGGUAGUAGGUAGGGUAAUGUCCUACCUAGGCAACGAUACAUAGCCUACCUGAGAGGGCGAGCGUGCACGCUGGGUCUGACACACGGGCCCGAACCCUCCGGGAGGCAGCAGUAGGGAAUCUUCGGCAAUUGGGGGAACCCUUGCCGCUCAACGCCGCGUUAGGUGAUAAGGGUUUGGGAUCUUAAAGCUCUUUUGUUAAGGAAGCGGUACUUAACCAGAAAGGGACGGCUAACUACGUGCCAGCAGCCGCGGUAAUUC
rnacentral:rRNA from 1 species